UACGUAGGGAGCAAGCGUUGUUCGGAUUUACUGGGAGUAAAGGGCGCGUAGGCGGCAAUUCAAGUCAUCUGUGAAAUCUCCGGGCUUAACUCGGAACGGUCAGAUGAUACUGCUUUGCUAGAGUGCGGAAGGGGCAAUCGGAAUUCUCGGUGUAGCGGUGAAAUGCGUAGAUAUCGAGAGGAACACCUGAGGUGAAGACGGGUUGCUGGGCCGACACUGACGCUGACAGCGCGAAAGCCAGGGGAGCAAACGGG
rnacentral:rRNA from 1 species